rnacentral:tRNA from 2 species
GGGGAUAUGGUGGAAUUGGUAGACACCGUGGUCUUAGAAGCCACCGCCUUGUGCGUGGGAGUUCGAGUCUCCCUAUCCCCA